rnacentral:rRNA from 1 species
CAGCCGCCGCGGUAAGACAGAGGAUGCAAGCGUUACCCGGAAUGAUUGGGCGUAAAGCGCACGUAGGCGGAUAUUUAAGUCAGGGGUGAAAUCCCAGAGCUCAACUCUGGAACUGCCUUUGAUACUGGGUAUCUUGAGUAUGGAAGAGGUGAGUGGAAUUCCGAGUGUAGAGGUGAAAUUCGUAGAUAUUCGGAGGAACACCAGUGGCGAAGGCGGCUCACUGGUCCAUUACUGACGCUGAGGUGCGAAAGCGUGGGGAGCAAACAGGAUUAGAUACCCGUGUAGUCCCUGUCUCUUAUAC